CACGUAGUUAGCCGUGGCUUUCUGGUUAGGUACCGUCUCUACUGUGUAUAGUUACUACACAAUCAUUCUUCCCUAACAACAGAGCUUUACGAACCGAAAUCCUUCUUCACUCACGCGGCGUUGCUCCGUCAGGCUUUCGCCCAUUGCGGAAGAUUCCCUACUGCUGCCUCCCGUAGGAGUCUGGGCCGUGUCUCAGUCCCAGUGUGGCCGAUCACCCUCUCAGGUCGGCUAUGCAUCGUCGCCUUGGUAGGCCUUUACCCCACCAACUAGCUAAUGCACCGCAAAGCCAUCUCAUAGUGUUAGCAAAACCAACUUUUAAACAUCAACCAUGCAGUUAAUGCUGUUAUCCGGUAUUAGCUAUCGUUUCCAAUAGUUGUCCCAGUCUAUGAGGCAGGUUCUUUACGUGUUACUCACCCGUUCGCCGCUAAGUUUUUCCGGUGCAAGCACCAGAAAAACUUCGCUCGACUUGCAUGUAUUAGGCACGCCGCCAGCGUUCGUCCUGAGCCAGGA
rnacentral:rRNA from 1 species